CCCUGAGUGGUAGAGUUAAUACGUUUAGCUGCUGACUAAAAGGCUGGAGGUUCAAGUCCACCCGGAGGCA
rnacentral:tRNA from 1 species